rnacentral:rRNA from 1 species
GGGGAUUGGCGGCAGCUACACAUGCAAGUCGAGCGGUAGCACAGAGAGCUUGCUCUCGGGUGACGAGCGGCGGACGGGUGAGUAAUGUCUGGGAAACUGCCUGAUGGAGGGGGAUAACUACUGGAAACGGUAGCUAAUACCGCAUAACGUCGCAAGACCAAAGUGGGGGACCUUCGGGCCUCAUGCCAUCAGAUGUGCCCAGAUGGGAUUAGCUGGUAGGUGGGGUAACGGCUCACCUAGGCGACGAUCCCUAGCUGGUCUGAGAGGAUGACCAGCCACACUGGAACUGAGACACGGUCCAGACUCCUACGGGAGGCAGCAGUGGGGAAUAUUGCACAAUGGGCGCAAGCCUGAUGCAGCCAUGCCGCGUGUGUGAAGAAGGCCUUCGGGUUGUAAAGCACUUUCAGCGGGGAGGAAGGCGGUGAGGUUAAUAACCUCACCGAUUGACGUUACCCGCAGAAGAAGCACCGGCUAACUCCGUGCCAGCAGCCGCGGUAAUACGGAGGGUGCAAGCGUUAAUCGGAAUUACUGGGCGUAAAGCGCACGCAGGCGGUCUGUCAAGUCGGAUGUGAAAUCCCCGGGCUCAACCUGGGAACUGCAUUCGAAACUGGCAGGCUAGAGUCUUGUAGAGGGGGGUAGAAUUCCAGGUGUAGCGGUGAAAUGCGUAGAGAUCUGGAGGAAUACCGGUGGCGAAGGCGGCCCCCUGGACAAAGACUGACGCUCAGGUGCGAAAGCGUGGGGAGCAAACAGGAUUAGAUACCCUGGUAGUCCACGCUGUAAACGAUGUCGAUUUGGAGGUUGUGCCCUUGAGGCGUGGCUUCCGGAGCUAACGCGUUAAAUCGACCGCCUGGGGAGUACGGCCGCAAGGUUAAAACUCAAAUGAAUUGACGGGGGCCCGCACAAGCGGUGGAGCAUGUGGUUUAAUUCGAUGCAACGCGAAGAACCUUACCUGGUCUUGACAUCCACAGAACUUUCCAGAGAUGGAUUGGUGCCUUCGGGAACUGUGAGACAGGUGCUGCAUGGCUGUCGUCAGCUCGUGUUGUGAAAUGUUGGGUUAAGUCCCGCAACGAGCGCAACCCUUAUCCUUUGUUGCCAGCGGUUAGGCCGGGAACUCAAAGGAGACUGCCAGUGAUAAACUGGAGGAAGGUGGGGAUGACGUCAAGUCAUCAUGGCCCUUACGACCAGGGCUACACACGUGCUACAAUGGCAUAUACAAAGAGAAGCGACCUCGCGAGAGCAAGCGGACCUCAUAAAGUAUGUCGUAGUCCGGAUUGGAGUCUGCAACUCGACUCCAUGAAGUCGGAAUCGCUAGUAAUCGUAGAUCAGAAUGCUACGGUGAAUACGUUCCCGGGCCUUGUACACACCGCCCGUCACACCAUGGGAGUGGGUUGCAAAAGAAGUAGGUAGCUUAACCUUCGGGAGGGCGCUACCACUUGGAUCAGUGGUC